GACGAACGCUGGCGGCGUGCUUAACACAUGCAAGUCGAACGAAGAGCGAUGGAAGCUUGCUUCUAUCAAUCUUAGUGGCGAACGGGUGAGUAACGCGUAAUCAACCUGCCCUUCAGAGGGGGACAACAGUUGGAAACGACUGCUAAUACCGCAUACGAUCUAAACUCGGCAUCGAGGAUAGAUGAAAGGUGGCCUCUACAUGUAAGCUAUCACUGAAGGAGGGGAUUGCGUCUGAUUAGCUAGUUGGAGGGGUAACGGCCCACCAAGGCGAUGAUCAGUAGCCGGUCUGAGAGGAUGAACGGCCACAUUGGGACUGAGACACGGCCCAGACUCCUACGGGAGGCAGCAGUGGGGAAUCUUCCGCAAUGGACGAAAGUCUGACGGAGUAACGCCGCGUGAGGGAUGACGGCCUUCGGGUUGUAAAGCUCUGUUAAUCGGGACGAAAGGCCUUCUUGCGAAUAGUGAGAAGGAUUGACGGUACCGGAAUAGAAAGCCACGGCUAACUACGUG
rnacentral:rRNA from 1 species